GCCUAAAAUCUAGCCCACUAACCCCACCUAUAAUCAAUCCUCCCUUUUGUUUAUCAAUAAAACAUUUUUUUAUUUUAGUACAGGAGAUCAAAAAAUUUCUAAGCGCUUUAGAUCAAGUACCGCAAGGGAAAGAUGAAAUAAAAAUGAAACAACUUUAAAGCCCCAAACAGCAGAGAUACUAUCUCGUACCUUUUGCAUCAUGGUCUAGCUAGUUUAACCAAGCGAAAAGACAUUUAAGUUUGACACCCCGAAACUAAGCGAGCUACUUCAAAAUAGCUCAAAGAGCCAACCCGUCUCUGUUGCAAAAGAGUGGGGAAAUUUUCAAGUAGAAGUGAUAAGCCUAUCGAGCUUAGAAAUAGCUGGUUACUCAGGAAAAGAGUUUUAGCUCUACCUUAAGUUUUUCUGUUAUACUAAAAACUCCCCUAAACUUAAGAGCCAUUCAAAUAAGGCACAGCUUAUUUGAAACAGGAUACAACCUACAACUAUGGGUAAAUUAAGGUGAUCCUAACUAAGUGGGCCUAAAAGCAGCCACCUUUAAAAAAGCGUUACAGCUUAAUUUAUUUUACCACCAAUUCUUUUCAACCCCCUGAACCCUAAACCACUACUGAGUAAUUUUAUAUAUUAUAAAAGCUAUAAUGCUAGAACUAGUAACAAGAAAUUUACUUUCUCCUUAAUGUAAAUAUAAGCCAGGAUGAACCCCUCACUGGCAUUUAACGCAUAUGAAAAUAUUGUAAUAACACUUCCUAGAAAACCUUACCAAUUUUAACGUUAACCUUACACCAGAACAUUACAGGAAAGAUUAAAAGAGAGAGAAGGAACUCGGCAAAUUUUAGCCCCGCCUGUUUACCAAAAACAUCGCCUCUUGACAAAACAUAAGAGGUCCAGCCUGCCCAGUGACAAAGUUUAACGGCCGCGGUAUCCUAACCGUGCGAAGGUAGCAUAAUCACUUGUUCUUUAAAUAAGGACUAGUAUCAACGGCAUCACGAGGGCCAUACUGUCUCCUCUCUUCAAUCAGUGAAACUGAUCUCCCCGUGAAGAAGCGAGGAUACAGUUAUAAGACGAGAAGACCCCAUGGAGCUUUAAGCAACAUUUUCACCUUUUAUCUUUAAAUCAACCUAAUAGAAAGAAUUGAAUCUUAGCUUUAGGUUGGGGGGACCGCGGAGUACAAACUAACCUCCACGACAAACGGGCAACGCCCUUAUCCACGAACUACAACUCUAAGAAUCAGAACACUGAUGUUUAUUGACCCAUCUUAUGAUCAACGAACCAAGUUACCCUGGGGAUAACAGCGCAAUCUACUUCAAGAGCCCCUAUCGACAAGUAGGUUUACGACCUCGAUGUUGGAUCAGGGCAUCCCAGUGGUGCAGCCGCUACUAAAGGUUCGUUUGUUCAACGAUUAAAGCCCUACGUGAUCUGAGUUCAGACCGGAGCAAUCCAGGUCGGUUUCUAUCUAUAAAGAAUUUCCCCCAGUACGAAAGGAUCGGGGUAAUAUGGCCUAUGUUAAGACAAGCCAUAGCCAUUUACUAAUGAAAUUAACUUAAUUAGUUUUUGUCUAUUAUCCCACCCUAAACAAGGGUAAUUUAAUGAAACUAAACUAUAGUUUACCUUGAAAAUAAGUUUUCCAUUAACCACAUACACCUUCUACUUCAAUUGAAAAAUAAACUA
rnacentral:rRNA from 1 species